rnacentral:rRNA from 1 species
UACGUAGGGAGCAAGCGUUGUCCGGAAUCAUUGGGCGUAAAGCGCGCGUAGGUGGCCUCGUAAGUCCGCUGUGAAAGUCAAAGGCUCAACCUUUGAAAGCCGGUGGAUACUGUGGGGCUAGAGGACCGGAGGGGAGAGCAGAAUUCUUGGUGUAGCGGUGAAAUGCGUAGAUAUCAGGAGGAACACCGAUGGCGAAGGCAGGUCUCUGGGCCGCUACUGACGCUGAGAAGCGAAAGCAUGGGGAGCGAACAGG